UACGGGGGGGGCAAGCGUUGUUCGGAAUUACUGGGCGUAAAGGGCUCGUAGGCGGCCAACUAAGUCAGACGUGAAAUCCCUCGGCUCAACCGAGGAACUGCGUCUGAUACUGGAAGGCUUGAAUCCGGGAGAGGGAUGUGGAAUUCCAGGUGUAGCGGUGAAAUGCGUAGAUAUCGGGAGGAACACCAGUGGCGAAGGCGGUUGCCUGGGGCUUUGCUGACGCUGAGGCGCGAAAGCGUGGGGAGCGAGUCCGG
rnacentral:rRNA from 1 species